GAAUGGUUGUUGAUUGAUAAGGGUUGGAUUGAAUGCAAAUAAUAUCCCACUUAAAUUGUGAUUAUUUUACAAUAUAAAGUCAGUCACUACGGAAACUAUUAAACACUUCAGAUCUGUGUGUUAAAUGCAACAUGAUCUCACUCGCUAGAGGCCAUGCUGUAUGGAGACUCAGUGGUGAUCUAGGAUCUGUCCAUACAAUGUUAUAUCGGGGGGAAGUUGCUAUGAGGUUGUUAUGCUGAUAGAGGUGAAGCAGAGACUAGACUCACUGCCAACAUGUUCAUCACUCUGGACAGUAGUUUGGAUUUAUGGAAAACUGACGUGGAGCCUCCCUGGUCCUGCCCCUGAACAGUUCUACGAGGCUUUGCAUCAGUAGAGGAGGCAGCUACACUCCCAGCGCGGGAAAUAUAAUUGCUGUUAUGAAAUUGUGGUGGUGAAUCCAUUUGAAUGUAAUCAGCUAGGAAUGGUGCUGGCUUUUUGUUUCUCUGAGUGUGUGAGUGUGUGUGUGCGUGUGUGAAAGCAGGCAUCCGUGCAUAUGAGCAUGCACGUGUGUGUGAGAAUGUGCGCGGGAGUAGUACUAGUGGAACAGAGUCUGAUCUUCCGUGUUCCAGGGUUCUGAGCUUUUUAUAGCCAAUGCAAAUCUUGUUCUCUUUUGAAGCACCUGUUCAGAUAAAUGGGGGUCAAUAGGGCGCUAGCUCAACCACCCAGCAUGAGAUGUGAGACUAUUAAUUUGUUCUCCAUAAUAUCAUAUAUAUAGUGCAAUCGGAAAGUAUUCAGACCCCUUUACUUUUUCCACAUUUUGUUACAUUACAGCCUUAUUCUAAAAUUGAUUCAUUUGUUGUUUCCCCACAUCAAUCUGCACACAAUACCCCACAAUGAUGAGCAGAAACAUGUUCUUAGAAAAUGGAGCAAAUUUAUUACAAAUAAAAAACUGAAAUAUCAUAUUUACUUAAGUAUUCAGACCCUUUACUCAGUACUUUGCUGAAGCACCUUUGGCUGUGAUUACAGCCUCAAGUCUUACACCUGUAUUUUGGGAGUUGCUCCUAUUCUUCUCUGCAGAUCCUCUUAAGCUCUGUCAGGUCGGAUAGGGAGUGUUGCUGCACAGCUAUGAUGUUCGGGUUCAAGUCUGGGCUCUGGCUGGGCCACUUAAGGACAUUCAGAGACUUGUCCUGCGUUGUCUUGGCUGUGUGUUUAGGAUCGUUGUCCUGUUGGAAGGUGAACCUUCGCCCCAGUCUGAGCUACUGAGAGCUCUGGAGCAGGUUUUCACAGAGGUCCUUUCUGUACUUUUUGCUCUGUUCAUCUUUUCCUCAAACCUGGUCUCCCAGUCCCUGCAGCUGAAAAACAUCCCCACAGCAUGAUGCUUCACAGUAGGGAUGGUGCCAGGUUUCCUCCAGACGUGACGCUUGGCAUUCAGGCCAAAGAGUUCAAUCUUGGUUUCAUCAGACCAGAGAAUCUUGUUUCUCAUGGUCUGCGAGUCCAUUAGGUGUCUUUUGGCAAACUCCAAGCAGGCUGUCAUGUGCCUUUUACUGAGGAGUGGCUUCCAUCUGACCACUCUACCAUAAUGGCCUGAUUUGUGGAGUGCUGUAGAGAUGGUUGUCCUUCUGGAAGGUUCUCCCAUCUCCAAAGAGGAACUCUGGAGCUUUGUCAGUGUAAUCAUCGGGUUCUUGGACAUCUCCCUGACCAAAGCCCUUCUCCCCCAAUUGGCCAGCUCUAGGAAGAGUCUUGGUGGUUCUUCCAUUUAAGAAUGAUGGAGGCCACUGUGUUCUUGGGGAUCUUCAAUGCUGCAAAUAUUUUUUGGUACCCUUCCCCAGAUCUGUGCCUCGACACAAUCAUGUCUCGGUAUCAGGUAUCAAGGUAAGACCCAGAUGCAGACCGUGUCGAAGUUUAUUACAGCAACAGGGGCAAAGGUACAGGACGGCGGGCAGGCUCAGGGUCAGGUCAGGCAGAGGUCGGUAAUCCAGAGGUGGGGAAAUUGGUACGUGUACGGCAGGCAGGCAGGCUCAGGGCCAGACAGAGAACACAGGUAUAAAUACACGGGGGAUAAAGGGGAAGAUGGGUGACACCUGGAGGGGGGUGGAGACAAUCACAAAGACAGGUGAAACAGAUCAGGGAGUGACACUCUGAGCUCUACGGACAAUUCCUUCGACCUUGGUUUCUGCUCUGAAAUGCACUGUCAACUGUGGGACCACACAGGUGUGUGCCUUUCCAAAUCAUGUCCAAUCAAUUGAAUUUACAACUCCAAUCAAGUUUUAGAAACAUCUCAAGGAUGACAAAUGGAAACAGGAUUCACCUGAGCUCAAUUUCGAGCCUCAUAGCAAAGGGUCUGAAUACUUAUCUAAAUAAGGCUUCUUUUUUUUUAAGUAUACAUUUGCAAAAAUGUGUAAAAACCUGCUUUCGCUUUGUCAUUAUGGGGUAUUAUGUCUAGAUUGAUGAGGGGGGGAAAAAAACAAUUUAAUCCAUUUUAGAAUAAGGCUGUAACAAAAUGUGGAAAAGGGGUCUGAAUACUUUCCUAAUGCACUGUAGCUUUGAAAUCCUAACAUUAUGAACUUCUGAAGAAAAUAAGCAGUUUCUCGACUCAUAAAGUGUCUUUCUAGAAGGGAGUGCGCGGCGAAUGGCUAUGCAACCGCGUGACACAGCACGGCAAUGUGAAUUUAAUUGGCAAGGAAUACCCAUGCUUCGAGCAUUAUGCAUAUCUCCAUUUCCCCCGCUGUUUACCAUCUCAUUUUUUAAAUAAAUAUAUCUGAUACUUAUUUUCUACUACAAAGAUCUGGUCAAAGGUCAAAUCAUGAAUGAGGCAGAGUGAAAACGAGACAAGGGGCUAGACAAGAUAAACUACAAAACACUCAAUCUCUAGAGUAAAAGGGAGACAUCCAUGUCCCGUGUCUACUCAGUGAAACACUGUACAUAGCUAAGGCCAUACAAACUCAAUUCUAUGUUUAACGGAUGCCCCUCGAAAAUAAAAUAAAAAUGUGCUCGCUUUCCUCACAAAAAAAUAAGUCAAACCAGCAUUUAGAAAGGGAAUUUCAAAAGGAAAUAAUGGGAAGGUUUCGUGCCAAAAGAGAUAGCACUGACAGUAUCAUCUGUAUUGUUCUGUAGAUCUAUGUAACUCAAUUCUCAACAGUGUUUUGGCUGCAACACUGUUGAGAAUUGACGAUUGAUGAUCACUUCACCAACAUGAUACAUAGAUAAGAUCAUUGUAACCAAGUAAAUUCAUUUAAAUAUGGUGACUAAUUGCAGCUUUCGACCUUGUCAUGUGGAAGGCCACAGAAAUAUUUCAUCCAUAUUUACUAUGACAUCACAGAUCUUUAACGCCUGCACAUUUUGUUUCAUGUAGGUGUUCACAGUGUAGGUGUUCACAAUGUCCAUCAUCUUCACAAUGUCAUCAUAUUGUCUGCAUUUCAGAUAGGCAUUCUUGGGGAAAAAAAUUGGAUGUUUAACGUUUAGAGUGAUGCACAAUAUGUUGUAAAAUAUGUUGUAUAAUCUGCACCAAGGUAACAGACGUAAACAAGGUUAUUUUUUAUUUUGAUCAGGGCCCGUCAGUCCAACAAUGCGUCUGGAAACUUGUUUUCUGGGAAAUGAACGAUACACGGGAACGAGGAGAAACACAGAGUAUCACCGAUACAAAUAUAAUUGAUGAUAUUUCUAGGGUACUGUAUCACCACUCCAUUAUACAAUAUGGUUAAUGCUCAGGUAUAGCCUAAAUGGGUGCCCAAGGUAGGGCAACUUCAUUCCAGUGGCUUUUGGCAUGUGUUCAUUAAUUCAUUCCACCCACUUGUAUUCUGUCUUUCUCUGCCCACUCUUUCUCUUCCUUUCUCUAUUUUCCUCACCCGUUUUGUUGGCGAGGAUAUGGCAGGCGUUCCUCAGGUGGCUCUUGAACUCAUAAAAUGUAGGACGUUAAUGACUCUGACUCAUGUCAAUUUUCAUAUAAUUCCUAUAACUGAAUAGGCUCCAUGCUUAGAUUUCAAAAUGCCUAUGCUGCAGGCACAUCGUUAAUGUGACAGACUCUCUGCAGGGUGACACCAAACGCUAAGUUCAUUAUCAAUCAUCUAACAAUAACCACUCUCUCGCAGGGUGACGCCAAGUUCAUUAGCAAUCAUCUAGCAAUUACCUAUGUAAUCAUUUUUUACAUUUUAUAUAUGAAAUGUGGAAUUUUAUUGCAGAUAUAUAGUAUCCUCUUUGCAUGACAAGUUUGUACCUUUUUAAUGCACCCAACUGUAGUUAGAGGGAAUCCUAAUCAUCAAUGUGAAGGUUUGUGAAGGUUUCCUGUGAAGGUUUACUGCAGGUCCCGGAAUCAUCAGAUGACACGCUGAAUGUUUUCUCUGUCUGCACAGGAUAUUGUUGAAGAUGACUUCAACUGUCUCACCUGUGACCAACUUUACUACAGUAUUCUCCAAUACCACAAUCACCACCAAGUCCAAAGAACAAAUACUCACUCAGAGUUCAGGGGCUAUGAUUGCUGUCAUUGUCAUCGGGAUCAUUAUCCUUCUAACCAUACUACUUGUCACCCUGAGGACAUACAACAGGCGGACACAUGCGUCCAGAGUGCUGGGAACAGGCUCCAAAGGGCCACCUCGACAGAAGAUGUCCUCUUCUACAGUGCAGACGAGCAUGCCCUUGGGGAGCUUUGCGCUGUCAAGUAAUAUGUCCGAAAAUGGAUUCCGGCUGCCCCGAGUGGAACUAAACAGCCUGGACCAAAACAACUUGGAGCAACAAAGCAGAAUCAGCGAUUCGACAGUAGUCACCAUACAUGAUACUCCAUCACUAGGGAAUACAUAGCAGGCCGCUAACGUAUUGGACAGGUGACAAAGUCAGCAUAUAAUGCUUGAAAAGAAACUCUUUAUUAUGAACAAAGUGGUGCUAUAAGAACGCAAUGAAUAUGCAUGGACACUCCUGUGGACAUAAACAAUUGCUUUCUUGACUACAGUGUUCAGAACAUGGACAAAAUUAUCCUGCUGUCUGUGCAUUUGCAGCUGUGCUACCAACAACCGUGAGGAUAAGCGUUGGAGGAGAGAUGUGUACAAGAUUUACGGCAUGAACAUGGUAUCAUGUCUAGUUUUUCUGUGUGCGUACAUUUCUGUGAGGGACUUGUUCACAGGGUUUUACAUUUAUUCACAUUAUUCUGAUGUAAGAUUAUUAUUCUUUCUUUUUUAUCUGAAUAAUGUUGUUGUGGUUUUCAGGAAAAAUCAUGAGAAUGUUUCUGUGAAAAGUCGAUACUGGUUUGAAUCCCUGUGGAGAUCUAGAUAGCAUACAAUUAUGAAAUAAUAAGUCCCAAUUAGUUUGAUUCCAAAGGAUUUUGCACUUUUCACUCACCCUAUCCUGUGAUUAUUUUUGCUUGUGGUUAUUUCAUUGAAAUAAAUAUUGAAAAUAAAUAUUGAUAUUUCUAAAAA
ensembl:lncRNA